UACGUAGGGGGCAAGCGUUGUCCGGAAUCAUUGGGCGUAAAGCGCGUGUAGGCGGUUCAGUAAGUCUGCUGUGAAAGUCCAGGGCUCAACCCUGGGAUGCCGGUGGAUACUGCUGGGCUAGAGUACGGAAGAGGCGAGUGGAAUUCCCGGUGUAGCGGUGAAAUGCGUAGAUAUCGGAAGGAACACCUGUGGCGGAAGCGGCUCUCUGGACCACAACUGACGCUGAGGCGCGAAAGCUAGGGGAGCAAACAGG
rnacentral:rRNA from 1 species